CCACAUGCACCCAUCAUUGUGGCAGAACCUCCUGAAUUAACUGGCCCACAUGCACCCAUCAUUGUCUCAAAGACUUCUGAUCAGCGUGCACGAGUUCCAAAUGACUCAAGAAGUCUGUCGGGUGUCCUCGGGAAACCCGAAUCAUCCACGUUUUAACUCAUACAGGAUCAACAUGGAGUUACCACAACAUUACAACAUUUGUUACAAAAAUAACUUACAUCAGAGUGCGGAAGAUUUAUAACUUAAUUUACAACAUAUGAUGAAGUACAAACUUAACUAAAUUUUUAAAAGGUGUGUAGAGUAGCGGAAGCAUCCUAGGUGAAGCUUCUAAGGUAGAAGAGGUGGAUAAAUCAUGUCGCGCCCACCGACAUGACCUCCAUUAGCAGUCUAAGUCAGCACCUGCAACAGGGGUUAAUAAACCCUGAGUACAAAAGUACUCAACAAGACUUAACCGACUAUAAAAGAGGUGAAAACUCAGGUAUGCAGGCUAUAGGGAUUCAAGGUAAAGCUUUAGCAAGAUCAAAGCAUUUCUUUUGCAUAAAAGCUUACUAAGAGUAAAACCUACUUUCAAGUUUUAACUCAAGGUUAUCAUUUAUGACUAACCAAUUAUUAUCAAGCUUCCAAACCAUAUCUUUCUUAUACCAAAGAUUCACUUAUUACUACGAUGAUGGUACGAGGAUUGAGGCUCCAUAUCCGAGGAAACACGGCGAUUCGAAUCGAUUAAACCCAGCUGGGGAUUCAGUACCACACGACAUAUGUAGAACUUAAUCUUGCAUAUGUCAACCUUUUCUAUAGAUCCUCCCAUACAAGAACGGGUCCAGCGUCACCCGAGAGUACAGUACACCACCAUCCUACAGCCAAUCUAGAUGUUUCCCGGUCAUCUCAGAUCCGUAAGGUGGGUACACGCUACUCUCGCCAUCUCUCCACUCCCAGUACGCGGUUAGCCGUUCUCAAGUAUCGGAAUAGCUAUAGGUAAGGCUUACCAGCGCAUGUGGGCUGUACUCAAAGGUCUCAAUCACAACAGGCCAACAACGGUACGGUCCUUAAUCGACACAGUUGGAGACACUACUUUAAGACUCCAUUCUUAAAGCAAAUCCACCGACCGGUCUCAAGUUUAACAUUAUCGACUACAAAAGUAUGCCACAACAACCCUUCAAACUUUCUCAUUUGAAAACUUAUCUAAUAAGCAGGGCUAAGCAUACUAAGCAUUUUCAUAAAACAAGUAUCAAGGUUAAUAUGAAAUCAUCAAGGUAGAUAAUGCAGCAAAUAGGAUUCACUCAAUUCCUAUUCACCUAAUGCAUCAUAUUAACUCAAGUGAUAUAAAUAACUUUAUGAAAAUACAAGGAUAGGGUUUAAUGUCCGGGGCUUGCCUUGGCCGGAAGGGAAGUCCGACAACUCAGCAAAACCAGAUGGAUCCACAAACUCGGAAGCAACCCACCGAGGAUUAGAUUCCUCCGGAGCGUAGUCUACACGUAGAGUUGCAUAUGCAUGAUCAAUGAGAUGUUCAUGACAUGAUAAAGACAGGUUACAAGUUCUUGGAUGAUAACAACAAUCAUAACUACCUCGAGUACAACUUACCUUCACGGUAUAGAAACAAACUAACUUAGCUAUCAAAACAUAAAUUACUACUAAGCAAAUUUUAUCAUCUUCAUUAAGCAAGGUUGUGAAGCUAUCAUACAACAAAGAUCAUUUAUAUGAAAUAAACCAUAGCAUAUCAUGCCAAGUAACCACUGGUUGUCAAUCAAUCCCAAAGAUCAAUCAAAACCUAAAAUGAUUAGGUUUUCUAUUUAUCUUAAUCAAUUCUUAAUUAAAUAUUAAUGGCAGUAAUUAAGUAUUAACAUCAAACAAUAAUUAAAUGUCAAAGGUCAUUAAGGUUAAUGACCUCAGGUCAUCACACAAUCCCAAAAGCACUCAAAUUCUAAUUUGGAAAUUAAGCUACUCAUUAUUUAAGUAAAGGCUAGCUAAAAACAAUAAACUCUAUUUGCACACAUAACCAGGACAGCAGCACAUACACAACUUCGUUCAACCAUAAUUAGAGAUCCAAACAUCCAAUAAAGGUGAUAUUAGACUUUCUAGAAAGCUUAGAUAAUUUUCUACAACUUUGUUAUUAUCUUCGAGAACUGAUUUAAAAGAUAAAAUAGCCAAACAGCAUGAAUAAACAAUUCUGUCCAGACUUUGGACAGAAUGAGACAUUAAGCUUUAUACCUCUAUGACCAGAGUUCUAGAUCAUAAAACGUCAUGAUCCAUAACAUUUUAGAAAGCUUAUGAAAAUUACUACAAUUCAUCUUUUAUCAUGAAAGCAUGAUUCAUAAGUUUAGUAGGUUGAAAUUGCACAACUACAGAAACUGAUCCAGGAUUUGACAGAAAGAAACCAUUUCUGAAACUUAAAUUUAAACAGACAUCACUCAGAAACUAUAGGGCCAAAUGCCACCAAAAUUUAACACCAGCUAGAUACAUGAAUUCUAUACAACUUUGUUAUAGACAAGUUUCAUAUCCAACAUUAUUUACCUAGAGCAAUUCAUCAUGCUCUAAAAACUAUCAAGAAACCACUAACAAUUAAAUUAUAGAGAAAUCAUAUUUCAUUUAUGUUCCAAACUUGAACCUGGGCAAAACCCAGCUCACCAAAAGUUGAAAUACAUCAAAGAGAUACUAGAAAAUAUCAUGGUCAUCCCUAAAUAAAUUCUUUUUAUGUCUUUAUUAAUUUAUUUAGAUAAAUAGACAAAGUAAUAACCAUAUAUCAAAAGUACACAAUAAAUUCUGAGAAAACUACAGAAGCUCAUAUAUGUUCUCCAAAGUCUACUGUAUAAAUUUCAUGCCAUUUGAAUAAGUAUAGCAGUUUCCAUGAAAAAGAUAAAUUUCCAUCACAAGAAAGCAUGUAGCAACAAGAUAAAUAAGAAACUCGACAGUUUCUACAAACACAUAGCUAAAUUAUGUAUCUGUAUAAUAUAAAGACCUCAUAUAAAGGCAGAGGAACCAUAUUUUACAUUUAUUUAUUUUUAGUUUAAUUUUAAACUAUUUAAUAAGCACUAAACAAGAUAAAUUAAUAACUUAACCAUAUAUCAUCUACUGAACAUGAAAUUUUUACUGUAACACUCACAUAACAUCACGAGAACACCAUAAAAAUUUCAGGGCAAUAGGAUCUACACAGAAUAAGAUAUGAAUUUCUCCUUUUUAAACAUAAUUAAAAGGCAUAAAUCAUAACCAAUUAUUUUACCACAAAACAUGGUCAGUUUCAUAUUUUUAAUAAAAACUAGACAUCUCAAGGAGCACAACAAAAUUUGGUUCACCAAAAUUGGAGUUACCAAACUCCAGAUAUGAACUUUCAAAGAUUCAACAAAACAUCUAAAAACAAGUCCUUAUAGCACUAUUCACCUGAGUCACAGCCUGUGCAAUUAGACCCCUGGAGAACUUCCAAUUGUUGCGCGUGGUCCCUGGUCGCGAUUCCAGAGCAGAGGAUGUCGGAGAAAACCUGAUUUCCGGCCCGUGGACGCUUGUUGGCAGCGAGGGAAAGCAUUGGGGAGCAUCCUGAGGCUCGCGCGCUCGCGCUGGUGUCAGCGGCUUGGCCGGAGAAGGUCUGUGGCCUCCUGGCCACGUGUGCAGGCGGCCAUGGCGGAGCUCUGUGAGCGGAAACUGGCUCACGGUUGAUCCCGACGAGGGGAGAGAGCACUAGCUGGCCUACCCGAUGCGCAAGGAUGCUGCGGAGCUGAAGAAGAGAUCAACUAGGCUUAGGUGUGAGGAGCGAGAUAAAUUCCGUCGGUGACCCAAGGUCACGGCGGCGGACAGAAAGAGGAGGAGCGAGGGUAAAGCUCUGGCUCCCUUUGGAUGAGGAUGCCUUCGACUCGUCCAUCUCAUGGUGACAGCAACCACGCAAGCAGCUGCGUGCCAGCCAUGCCCAUGGCAACGUGGGGAAGCAGGGGUGCCGGACAGAGUCGCGGUGCUCUGUUCCCAA
rnacentral:lncRNA from 1 species